GAUAUGGGACAAGGGGCGAAAGCCUAAUGCAGCAACGCCGCGUGAGUGAUGAAGGACUUCGGGUCGUAACGCUCUUUGAUCAGGGAUGAUAAUGACAAUACCUGAAAAACCAGCUACUGCUAACUACGUGCCAGCAUCCGCGGUAAUACGUAGGUGGCGAGCGUUGUCCGGAAUUACUGGGCGUAAAGGAUGCGUAGGUGGAUACUUAAGUGGGAUGUGAAAUCCCCGGGCUCAACCCGGGAACUGCAUUCCAAACUGGGUAUCUAGAGUGCAGGAGAGGAAAGCGGAAUUCCUAGUGUAGCGGUGAAAUGCGUAGAUAUUAGGAGGAACACCAGUGGCGAAGGCGGCUUUCUGGACUGUAACUGACACUGAGGCAUGAAAGCGUGGGUAGCAAACAG
rnacentral:rRNA from 1 species